rnacentral:rRNA from 1 species
UACGUAGGUGGCAAGCGUUGUCCGGAUUUACUGGGCGUAAAGCGCGUGUAGGCGGCUUGUUUAGUCUGUCGUGAAAUCUCCCGGCUUAACCGGGAGGGGUCGACGGAUACUGGCAGGCUUGAGGGGAGCAGAGGAAGGUGGAAUUCCCGGUGUAGUGGUGAAAUGCGUAGAUAUCGGGAGGAACACCAGUGGCGAAGGCGGCCUUCUGGGCUCUACCUGACGCUGAGACGCGAAAGCGUGGGGAGCGAACCGG